rnacentral:lncRNA from 1 species
UUGAACAGUACUGACUGGCAUUUGCAAGGAUUUGGAUAUCUUUUUAUAUCCUUUUCGAUCUUUAUAAAGUUCCAUUACCUUGUUAUACAGGUCUUUUGACAGUUCUUUUUUGCUCCCCGUGGCAUACACACAUACAUGCAUAUGUAUAUAUAUGUGGGUAUAUAUGUGGGUGUGGGUGUGGGUAUGUGCGUGUGCGUGUGUUUUUGUCUGCCCUGAUUACUGCCCUUUGACCUGUAGUCUCCAUAUCUCCCCACUAUCACCCUUUGUUUGUCAAAGGAAGCCCACUACUUUUAAAGGAAAUUGCAGAAUAUGAGUAUAGGCCUAUAGAGGUUCCACAUAAGAGGUCUUUACUAUGUUUAGUUUGUUUCAGAUGAUCUUGUAUAUUCUCAAAAUGCUUAGCCUGGGAGUCUGUAGGUGUGUCUGUGAUCGAAUGACUCAUUACAGGACCGCUGUGUUAUGGACCAUAUCCAAUGUGUGUUUGUUUUUUAAGGCAAGUCCCUUUGGGAGCUGGUGGUGGAACAGUUUGAGGACCUCCUGGUCCGGAUCCUGCUGCUGGCCGCCUGCGUCUCCUUUGUGCUGGCCCUAUUCGAGGAGGGCGAGGAGACCGUCACAGCGUUUGUGGAGCCCUUCGUCAUCCUGCUCAUCCUCAUCGCUAACGCAGUGAUUGGCGUCUGGCAGGAGAGGAACGCGGAGAACGCCAUCGAGGCCCUGAAGGAGUAUGAGCCAGAGAUAGCCAAGGUAUACCGCAUGAACCGCAAAGCCGUCCAGAGAAUCAAGGCCCGGGAAUUGGUGCCAGGGGACAUUGUCGAGAUUGCCGGUGAGUAGGAUGUCUCUUCACUCCGUCCCUCCAACCCUGGGCUACUGCCCAUACACAACACGAAUGCAUGGACAUUUGUGGCCCUAUGCCUCAUUUCCAGGUCUGGAAACGCAGUUUGAAACGUAACUUACGUAAGAGUCUUUCCCCUGGACCCACAGGUGCCAGCUCGGAGCACAGCUGUUUGUGCUUGUUUGCCCGUGUGUGUGUGUGUGUGUGUGUGUGUGUGUGUGCGCGCGCGUGUGUGCGUGUGUGUGUGUGUGUGUGCGAGCGUGUGCACACUGUGCCGUAAAGUGGCUGCGGUCGUCCCUGGGUUUAAAUUUCCACACCGUUUUGCUUGGCUUUUCCAUGCUCUCAGUCUCCCCACCUGGUUACUACUGCUGGGCCUCUCUAUCUCUCACACACACACACACACACACACACACACACACACACACUGCCCAAUGUGUGGGCUGGCUCACCUAAAAAUAGUCUUGUUGUCACUGGUUCCAG